rnacentral:rRNA from 1 species
AACGAACGCUGGCGGCAUGCCUAACACAUGCAAGUCGAACGAAGGCUUCGGCCUUAGUGGCGCACGGGUGCGUAACGCGUGGGAACCUGCCCCUCGGUUCGGAAUAACUCAGGGAAGCUUGAGCUAAUACCGGAUGAUGACUUCGGUCCAAAGAUUUAUCGCCGAGGGAUGGGCCCGCGUAGGAUUAGCUUGUUGGUGGGGUAAUGGCCUACCAAGGCGACGAUCCUUAGCUGGUCUGAGAGGAUGAUCAGCCACACUGGGACUGAGAUACGGCCCAGACUCCUACGGGAGGCAGCAGUGGGGAAUAUUGGACAAUGGGCGAAAGCCUGAUCCAGCAAUGCCGCGUGAGUGAUGAAGGCCUUAGGGUUGUAAAGCUCUUUUACCAGGGAUGAUAAUGACAGUACCUGGAGAAUAAGCUCCGGCUAACUCCGUGCCAGCAGCCGCCGUAAAAC